UGAGGAAUCAAACCCAGGGCUUCAUGGAUGCUAGUCACCUGUAAGCCCCCAUCAAGGCUGGCAUGCGUUGUGUUUAUCUGGAACUGGAGUACUCAGUACAGAGAUGGACACCUAGCAAAUACUCAGUAAAUACUGAGAGGAUUCUAAGAAGCUUAUCUUUCUUACAUUGCUGGUGGAGCGUUGUGGAGGGACAAUUACCAAGAAAUUGGUGACCUGGUGGCCCAGAUCAACAGUGUGGAAUGCAUCUUGAGGACUUCACAAACUUGGAAAACUGAUCCAUUUUAGGCUAAGUGCAAGCCUGAGCCACAAGUUCAGCAGUAAAAUGGGAUUAGUACUACUAUCUUUUUUCCCCCGGGGUACUGGGACUUGAACUCAGGGCUUCAAGCUUGCUCAGCUGGUGCUCUACUAUUUGAGCCACAUCAUCAGCCAGCACUACUAUCUUGUACGAUGUUUACUAGGAUAUAUUGAGAACAAUCCUUGGCUAUAGUGGGAUGCUCAUAAACGAAAAUUAUCCCAACUUGCAAAUAUUGCCAACCUAAGUUCUAACUCAUCUAAUCAAGUGAGGUUAAAUAAGCAUAAUUUAUAACCCACUUUCUCUAGUUAUUUGUAAACGUUUACAUGUAUUAUAUAUUAUAUAUUCAUUCAAUAUAUAUUAUA